rnacentral:lncRNA from 10 species
GGGCAUUAAUGGGCAUUGGCCAAAGAUUUCCUUAGCUCACUAAGGAGAAAAGCAGCAGGAUGAAUGAAUGAUUCCACAGAAGGUUUGAUAAACUGAUGUUCGUGUAGUCAGUAGAAAAAGAUAUGCUGAAAUAACUUUGCUCAGUUAAAUAUAAAACUGACUGAUAUACAGGACAAUAGAAUCAUAAGCUUUGGGGUUAUCUACUAGAAUGAAACAAAAAAAAGAUUUUGGCCAGGCAUGGCGGCUCACACCUGUAAUCCCAACACUUUGGGAGGCUGAGGCGGGCGGAUCACCUGAGGUCAGGAGUUUGAGACGAGCCUGGCCAACAUAGUGAAACCAUGUCUCUACUAAAAAUACAAAAAUUAGCUGGGCAUGGUGGCAGGUGCCUGUAUUCCCAGCUACUCGGGAGGCUGAGGCAGAAGAAUCGCUUGAACCCAGGAGGCAGAGGUUGCAGUGAGCUGAGAUGGUGCCACGGCACUCCAGCCUGGGCAAAGAUUUCACCUCAGUUUUCUAAAAGUUAACAUGUAUCUUUGCAGACUAGGGAGGCCAUCUGGGGCUGACCUGAUGGUGAAUAAUAAACUAAACAAAGUAAUAUUACUGUGAGGAAAGAAAUAGCUAAUUAGAAAAUGCUCUAGCAUGACAUUAAAAGUUCACACGGUCAUCUUUUUGGUUUUCUUUUUCCCCCAAGCUUUGGAUAUUUUUCCCUAACAUGCAAAUGACUUGACUUUGCAGGGUGUACAUCAGUUACUCACAGUGGAUGUUUCAUUCUCAUUUUAAAUCAAACUUAAAGAGGUUAAAGAGAAAGAAUGCAUGAUCCUCAGGGGGUAUCAGUGUGACAGGAGGAAACAUAAUAAUAAUAAUUAUAAUAACAAUAGCUACUACUCAUUGACUCUUAAUAGAUGCCAGGCUCUGGGUUGAGCUUUUCCAGAUGUCGUGGAGUCACAAUUUUACACAGCACUGAUCAGGUGUGCAGAAAAAAUAAAGCUUAUUUCUUUUCUAUAAUGGACUUAGACUUUCUCAUGCACUUUUGUGAGCUCCUGGUGACCGAGGAGAAGGGACUCUAUAUGCUGCAUGUGGUACUUUCUGAGCUUCACUGUUUCACUUUUCUGACUGGUCACUGUUAACAGCAAAACCCAGCUCUGUAAAAUAUUUUAAAGAAGUUUAUUCUGAGUCAAUAUAAGUGACUGUGGCCUGGGGAAACACAAACCCAAGAAGCUUUGAAUAAGUGGUCCUGAGGUGGUUAGAUUACAGUUUGGUUUUACAUGUUCUGGGGAGGCAGAAGUUACAGGCAAAGACAUAAAUCAAUACAUGGAGAUUAUACAUUGGUUUGGGCCCAAAAGGCAGGAUAGCUUUAAAUGGGGCUUAUGGGUUAUAGGAGAUUCUUUAAUUUGCAGUUGGUUAGAGUAAGACUUUGCUAAAACUUGGAGUUAACAGAAAGAAAUAUUUUAUGUUGGCUGGGCGUGGUGGCUCAUGCCUGCAAUCCCAGCACUUUGGGAGACCGAGGCAGGUGGAUCAUUUGAAGUCAGGAGUUCGAGACCAGCCUGGCCCACAUGGUGAAACCCCGUCUCUACUAAAAAUGCAAAAAAAUUAGCAAGUUGUGGUGGCACAUGCCUGUAAUCUCAGCUACUCUGGAGGCUGACCAGGAGAAUUGCUUGACGCAGGAGGCGGAGGUUGCAGUGAGCUGAGAUCCCGCCACUACACCCAGCCUGGGUGACAGAGUGAGACUCCAUCUC